GGAGACUCUGUGCGCGUGCAUAUCAAUAAGCGGAGGAAAAGAAACUAACUAGGAUUCCCUCAGUAACGGCGAGUGAAGCGGGAAGAGCUCAAAUUUGAAAUCUUCAAGGUUUACCUUGACGAAUUGUAGUUUAAAGAAGUGUUUUCUGUUGAAGUUUCGGUAAAAGUUCUUUGGAAUAGGACAUCAUAGAGGGUGAGAAUCCCGUAUUUGACCGUUACUUUCCAGCUGUGUGAUACACUUUCAAAGAGUCGGAUUGUUUGGGAAUGCAGUCCAAGAUGGGUGGUAAAUUUCAUCUAAAGCUAAAUAUUGGCGAGAGACCGAUAGCGAACAAGUACCGUGAGGGAAAGAUGAAAAGAACUUUGAAAAGAGAGUUAAACAGUACGUGAAAUUGUCAAAAGGGAAGCGUUUGACACCAGUGUUGUUUAGUUGAAAAUCAAUUCAAUAAUUUUUGAUUUUAAGUAGUAUUGACUUCAUCAGCUUGCUGCUUUCUUUUCAGGAAUUAUUGAAUGCACUUUUCAGUUAACAAGUCAACAUCAAUUUCUUUUGUUGUAAAAGGGUAAGAGGAAGGUGGCUUACGCUUCGGCGUAAGUGUUUAUAGCCUUUUACCUCUGCAAUCGGAGAGAUUGAGGACAGCAGCGUAGACUCCUUCGGGGGUUAGAUACACUUGUGCUAAGCUAUAGCCUUGUAUAGACAACUUGUUGACUAUGCUCAGUCAUGUAGCUUACUCGCUUGUGCUAUGUUACCUACGCUUAGGAUGUUGACAGCAGUAUAGACUGU
rnacentral:rRNA from 1 species